AGGCCUGAGACAGAGGCUUCUUAACGUCCGCUUGGCUUACUCAUCAACUCAGACACUGCCACCUCAGGCCGGUGGCUAACAGCGAAAGCCUGCUACCAAGAAGCAGGCCACUCACUGCCUAAACAGGAACAAGCCAGCAGGAUGUCAGGAGCAAGGACACAGGAGGAGAGAGUGAACAGAUGCCAGGGGCCUCUGGGAGAUGUAAACACAAGACUGCCAUCGAGGUGAGUCAGGCUUGGCGGGUACUUAGAGGGCUGUGUAAUAGCUUGGGGCUGCUAAUGAGGGGUGCUCAUGACAGCCUCUAAGGACCACAGGCCUCGGUGCCAUUUAAACUAUUCCUGGAAAGAGGCAGCUCAGCUUCCUGCACCAAACAUGUGUGGCAUGGCCAGGGAGAGAGAGACACCAUACUGGAAGCAAACGGAAACUGGGUUCUGGCACAAGGAGAAGUCAGGGAGAAAGGCAGCCAGAGACAGCAAAACAGGUCUCUCAGCCUCUUCUCCAAGGGCUCAGGGCUGCUGCUGGGAUAGAGCAGUGUUGAGAGAGGCAGGCAGGAGUGGUAGCCUCGGGCAAGUGUUCUUUUCUAAACUAUUUUCUGUAAUUGCAGAGAACAGCACCCAUUGUAGGGGUUAGAUAGAUAAACUUACCUGCAGUGAAGCAAACUUCUUACAAUGACAAGCACACAGUAAACUCUAAGGAAACAGUCUUUUUUUUUUUUUUUUAACCACUUCUGACAUCAACCUUCACUUAACAGAUUAACCAUGGCUUUACUCUCCCUCUGACAGGCCCCUCCUGGCAGACUGGGCCAUUGUUGCUAAGUACCUCUGUGCUUUUUUUCUCUCUGACUAUGCUGUAGUAUAUCUAGGGUCAAUUUUAUUUGUUCCUGAACUCACCUAUGCCAAAUAUACUUGCUCAUAAAUUAUGUAAUUUAUUCCUUUAAAGAAGCUAUUAAAACAGAAAGUGUGAGAAGAAAAUGAGUGUAGUUCAUGGAAACAGUGGGGCUGCCCUGGUUGCCCACAGCCUUCUCCUUACAAAUCCUCACAUUCUUUUAGCUACUCAUGGCUGCGAGACUUGGCCAGGCCUGGAUCCCUCCUCCCUUGUGGGCUGAAGCUGGUAUGACACUCUUGUACUUGGCUUACAAGCUAAUGAAGUCUUCCCAGGGAACAGGAGUACCUGAACAGCUCCUUGGAGGCAUCCCCGUGUUCUGGGCGGGAUGUGGGCCCUCUGCUCUCACUGGCAGCAGGCAGCAGUAGAGGGUCACCCAGGGAGACAGCCCCGCCAAGGUCAGGGUCAUCAAACAGCUUCAGGGCUGUGGGGAGAGAAGACGUAGCAGGUGAGAAAGGAAGUGCUUAUCUAUCCUCAGAUGCGAGAGAGCAGGCCUGCUAAGCCUCCUAUUGCAUCCCGGUUAGCGAGCAAGGAAGGCAGAGUGUAGGGAGACAGGAGGGCAGAAGGAAGGCAAGAACAUAGCAGCAAUACACGGGUCUGAGCGGCCUGUCCGCCUUGGCCUGGCUCUGUUCCAGUCCUUCAGGGCUUCUCACUGCUGGCGGAAGUGGCUUCUCAGGACAUAGCACCAGGAUCCCCAGAGCUCUGGCUGGACAGGGUCCCUGAGCUUGCCCACAGGUACUAAUGAGCAGGUACUGAGGGGCAGCCACCAGCCACAGAUCUUGUCAAGGUUGUGAAAGAUGAGCAGAAGCAACAGACACAAAUUACCCACAGGACCCAUCUUCAGGAAGCCCGGGCCUUCCCAAUCUCUCCCACGUGAGCCUCUCUUUGGGAGUGUCAACCGUGUGUUUACUUGAAGCGUCUUUUCCCAGUGGACGCGGUUAAGCCUCCUGGCCUUUUGGGAUCCACCACUGCACUCUCUCCCAGAAAGCCUGCUGUCCUAUGGGAACCGGUAUCUCUCUGCUCAGCCCUGAAAGAGACUUGGGCUGUGCUGAAUUUUUGGGUGAUAUUAUCUAUCUUUAUCCUCCAUGGGCUCUGAAAUCCUAAGGCUGGGGAUUUGAGCUGGAUCUUCCCUCAGUGGAUGCUCAGUAAGCACUGGGUGAAUCAAUAAAUUACCAUCAAUUCUUUCCCUGGGCAGGCAUGAGGAAAGGUCAGAGACAUGUGGAAAAGUCCCAAAGCCUCUAAGCAUUCCCUCUGAACCUUGUACCACGCCUUGCAGUAGAAUCUAUGUGGGUGGCAUACACUCAUUAAAAUUAAAAGCUGUACAGAGUCACAUGCACGCCCAAAGCUAGGUCAGUAUCCAUGUUCCAUUAAACAGUUGCAGGGAUCCCUGUGCCCCUGUGGCUGCAGAUGUAAUUAAGGAACCAGGUCUCCAGGCAACUAAGAAGCCGGACCUUCUCUUCUCUAUAGGACAUUCAGAGUGAGUGUGUAAUCCCCAAAUGUUGCAGCCCGUGGGAACACCAGGUGUGAGAGACACCAGGAGGAAGUCUCUAUAUUCCUAAUCUGUAUUCUAUCUAAACAGGACAAGGAUGAGACCCACUUUCUCAGGGACAUAGACAUUCACCAAGCUCUAAGCCAGUACCAGGAACAACACUAGUACUUACAGUCCUGUGUGGUCUCCAGGGGUCUCCGGGUCUCAGACACCUUCUUGUCUGAGCUGAAGAGCCCCGCGUCAGGGUCUACCUCCUCAUCAAAGAUGGUGAGCCGAGGUGCAGGCUUGGGCCUCACGGCCACUUCUGGGCGUUUCUUGGGCUUCUUGGAGCUGGAGAUAAAACACAAGGUGACUGGUGGUUUCAAUACGCUUGACCCAGGGAGCCUUGUUGGUGUGGCUUUGUUGGAGGAAGUGUGUCACUGUAGGGGUGGCUUUGAGGCCCUCCUCCUAGCUGCCCAGAAGA